CAUUAACGAAUGGUCAUCCUUGAUCUUCUACCCUCAAACCACUGUGGACAUGAAAUGUGCUUCGGCGUCGAGAGGCGCCGCCUUUAUGCCUCUUCAAGUCUUUAUUGUCUGUCUAAAACAAAUGUCAAAACUUUCAACAAAGGAUCUCUUGGCUCUCGCAUCGAUGAAGAACGUAGCAAAGCGCGAAAUGUAGUGUGAAUUGCAGAACAUUGUGAAUCAUCGAAUCUUUGAACGCACAUUGCACCUCCCGUGAGGGAGGUAUGCCUGUCUGAGCGUCAUCAAACCCAAUAAAUCUUCGGAUUUUGUGUUGGGCUCCGCACCCGUGCGUUGCCUCAAAGUCAUGGUCUAAACCUGUGGACGAGCUCCUCUCGGACCUGCCGCAGCGAGACCCCCAUCUCUGAAUUUGACCUCAGAUCAGGUAGGAAGACCGCC
rnacentral:rRNA from 1 species